rnacentral:rRNA from 1 species
AUUGAACGCUGACGGAAUGCUUUACACAUGCAAGUCGAGCGGCAGCGCGGCCUUCGGGCUGGCGGCGAGCGGCGAACGGGUGAGUAAUGCAUCGGAACAUGCCCAGUCGUGGGGGAUAACACUUCGAAAGAAGUGCUAAUACCGCAUACGUCCUGAGGGGGAAAGCGGGGGAUCGCAAGACCUCGCGCGAUUGGAGUGGCCGAUGUCAGAUUAGCUAGUUGGUGGGGUAAAGGCCUACCAAGGCGACGAUCUGUAGCUGGUCUGAGAGGAUGAUCAGCCACACUGGGACUGAGACACGGCCCAGACUCCUACGGGAGGCAGCAGUGGGGAAUUUUGGACAAUGGGGGCAACCCUGAUCCAGCCAUGCCGCGUGAGUGAAGAAGGCCUUCGGGUUGUAAAGCUCUUUCGGCAGGAACGAAACGGUGGGCUCUAACAUAGUCCGCUAAUGACGGUACCUGAAGAAGAAGCACCGGCUAACUACGUG